rnacentral:rRNA from 1 species
CGGCAAUGGAGGAAACUCUGACCGAGCAACGCCGCGUGAACGAUGAAGUAUUUCGGUACGUAAAGUUCUUUUAUUAGGGAAGAAUAAAUGAUGGAAAAAUCAUUCUGACGGUACCUAAUGAAUAAGCCCCGGCUAACUAUGUGCCAGCAGCCGCGGUAAUACAUAGGGGGCAAGCGUUAUCCGGAAUUAUUGGGCGUAAAGGGUGCGUAGGCGGUUAAAUAAGUUUAUGGUCUAAGUGCAAUGCUCAACAUUGUGAUGCUAUAAAAACUGUUUAGCUAGAGUAAGAUAGAGGCAAGUGGAAUUCCAUGUGUAGUGGUAAAAUGCGUAAAUAUAUGGAGGAACACCAGUAGCGAAGGCGGCUUGCUGGGUCUUUACUGACGCUGAGGCACGAAAGCGUGGGGAGCAAACAGGAUUAGAUACCCUGGUAGUCCACGCCGUAAACGAUGAGUACUAAACGUUGGGUAAAACCAGUGUUGAAGUUAACACAUUAAGUACUCCGCCUGAGUAGUACGUACGCAAGUAUGAAACUUAAAGGAAUUGACGGGACUCCGCACAAGCGGUGGAUCAUGUUGUUUAAUUCGAAGGUACCCGAAAAACCUCACCAGGUCUUGACAUGCUUCUGCAAAGCUGUAGAAACACAGUGGAGGUUAUCAGUUGCACAGGUGGUGCAUGGUUGUCGUCAGCUCGUGUCGUGAGAUGUUGGGUUAAGUCCCGCAACGAGCGCAACCCUUAUUGUUAGUUACCAGCACGUAAUGGUGGGGACUUUAGCAAGACUGCCAGUGAUGAAUUGGAGGAAGGUGGGGACGACGUCAAAUCAUCAUGCCCCUUAUGACCUGG